rnacentral:rRNA from 1 species
UCUUUAGUUGCUACCAUUUAGUUGAGCACUCUAAAGAGACUGCCGGUGAUAAGCCGCGAGGAAGGUGGGGAUGACGUCAAGUCCUCAUGGCCCUUACGGGCUGGGCUACACACGUGCUACAGUGGCGGUGACAGAGGGACGCAAAGGCGCAAGCCUUCGCAAAUCUCAAAAAGCCGUCUCAGUUCGGAUUGGGCUCUGCAACUCGAGCCCAUGAAGUUGGAAUCGCUAGUAAUCGCAGAUCAGCAUGCUGCGGUGAAUACGUUCCCGGGCCUUGUACACACCGCCCGUCACACCAUGGGAGUUGGCUUUACCUGAAGGCGGUGCGCUAACCAGCAAUGGAGGCAGCCGACCACGGUAGGGUCAGCGACUGGGGUGAAGUCGUAACAAGGUAGCCGUA